CUCACAUAUUGGGUGCUAGUGUGAAAGGACGGCUGCCGGCCAACCGUCAGCCACCAGCCAUCCUAGAUUUUGCUAUAGCUGACGCAAAAGGAGUGGCAUCCAAGAGCAAUGCUGGGGAGCAGGCUUGGAACCCUCCUUCGGAGGAGCAAAGCCCAAACCCUCAUCUCUCAGUUCAAAGGUUCUCCUAGGGUUUCCACUAAUUUAUCUCCAUUGUCUCCUUCGAGGUUCACGACCUCAGCACCCUGGGAGGGAUGUUUUCUUUCCAAACAUAGCUCUUUCUAUGCAGUUAAAUCCAUUCCCAAGGUUCUAUUCUUCUCUUUCAUCUUACUUGCAGACCAUAUCUUAUAUCGGUAGUCUUCCUAGGGUGGCAUUAAGUCUCGAUCUUAAGCCAAUUUGAUAUAACAUGGCAUUAGUUUGUUUAUUUGACUUGGUUUUAAGCAGGUAGCAGUCAUGUUGAACAUGCACUAAUUCAUUAGAGCAAUUUAUAUAUGAUGUUCUAUUAC